rnacentral:misc_RNA from 1 species
GUGUGUGUGUGUGUGUGUGUGGAGCAAACCCUUUUCCAUAUUUUCUUAAUUAUCUUUUCCUAAACAAUUAGUCAUAAGUAUUUCUGUUGCAGUAAAUGGUAUCAUGGCUAACAUAUAUUUGUCUUUCGAGUCUAGUUAAAAGAAGAUCAUUCAAUUUAUGACUAUAUAUUUCAUAGGAAAGAAAGACACUAAUAUCGUAAACUUGACAACAUUCCAUAAGUUCAUCUACAUUGUGACACACUAAAAACAGAGAAUCGAAGAUGUUAAGUGUCUAGCAGAAUUCUUGUAACCUUGAAUUGCUAUGGUAUAUUAUGUAUUAUAUAGGAUUUUGAAAUGUUUUAAUUUAAACCUCAUAUAUGAAACUCAUAGGGAAAAAAUAUAUAUGAAGGCUUCAUGAAAUAAUCACCUUUGUGUCAUCAGUAUGCCCAUCGCCUUUAGCACCAUAGUCAAGGACAUUAAAGGUGGAAGCAGAGCUCUGUCCUUUCUGAGUUGCCAUAGUUUCAUCCGGCGAAAUGUAAUAAGAAUCCGUGAACUUUGACAAGCUGCGGCCAUGGUGAUGACUCUGCAUAGACACAGAGGCUGCUGGGGCAGUUUUGCUUUGCCUCCAGUACUUGCCUUGUCUUGCAUGGCAAGGUUCAAUUCUUGCAGACCAAGCAAAUAAGAUAAUGAUGAGGAUGGUGAUUAGUGAAAGGUUCUCAAGAUUGAAGCCACCCAUUUUGAUCAUGUGAAGGAUGAUUCUUUUCUUUAAUUAGAUGACUAAUGAAGAAGAAGAAGAAAAAUGGGUUUUCUAUAUGUGCCAAUGUGGAAGAUGAGUGGAUUUUAUGUGAUCUAUUUUGAGAUUGGUGGACGUGAAUUUAUAGGGAGAAGGUAGUCUAAGGUCAUGGCACUAUUCAGGCAUAUGAUAAACAGUUACAUUAAAGACGGGUUUCUUCCUUCUUCAAUUUUCUUAGUUCGUCUAUUUGUGUCCCACGUUUGAUGUGAUAGUAUAUUAUUAUUUGUUUUAUCUCUCAAUUAUUCUAUUGAUUCACUGUAGUUGCCUGCAUGACCAGCUUAAGCUUGUUGACAAUAAAAUAGAAAAUAAUCAUCAUAGAUGAGGAUUUGUAA